rnacentral:lncRNA from 1 species
GCGGGACUAGUCGGUACAUUUCCAUGUGAAAGGGCUUUUGUUCUUACAUUACUCUGUGUGUGUGUUUUUCUUUUUUGUUGUUUGUGUGUGUGUGUGUGUUUUUAAACCUGGAGGAUGUCCAAUGAAGAACAAUAGUUAAGACUCCAAAGGUUUCAAAGUUAAGCACCCUGGUGCUGGAAGCUGCCAGAAGUCAGGCUGUUCACAUGAGUAGAGUUUGAUCUCCUGUUUUGAUUUCUUUUAACAAGAUUCUGCAUAUUUCAGCAGAGGGCCCUAAGCUCAUUCAGUGCGUCGGUUGGACAGUGAACAAUGCAGUGCGCCAUAAAGCAAAUACUUUCUCUAGUCAUUAAGGCACAGCAUGGAUAUCCAGGAGAGGUUAUCUGGGACAUCCUCACAGAGACGACCAGGACCUAGAGGAGAUGCAUGCCCUUAUGGAGCAGGAGUUGGAGGCCAUGAUGGAGAACAAGUGUCAAGAAACUUUAUCUAUGGGCAUCCAAAUCCCAUCCUGGGUGUUUUUGGAGAGAUGUGAGGUAUCAUGGAGUCACUGCUAACAUUAUGCUCAUGUUCUGGGAGUCUCCCUUCCUCUCAUGGUGCUCCUGGGAUGAAGGUGGGCAGGUGUGUGCUGUGUGCCAGCAUGGACAGUCUCAGAGGCAUUAAGCUGGUUGCAUAUCUCACAGACUUCUGCUGAAACCCCAUCCUUCCAUUACUGCUGUUGUAGCUAAGGGCCUUAAGAAGAAAUGUUUGGGUUUUGUACUUGGGUGCUUGCAGCAGGGCAGCUCCACGUGCGGGUGUCUGCUGCCCUAACAGUACCUCUGCCGGCAGCUGCCUUGGUAACAGCGUGGUGAUGAGGACCAUAUGGCACAAACGCAGCACUGCUGCUCUAGGAACAUCUCUUAACCCUUUGGAGGGCAUCUUCUGCCAGGACUGGUAACGUGGUGGGUUUAAAUGGGUUUAACGUGGUACAGGGGCUAAGCAGUGCAGCCUCUCAGAUUUGGUAGUGGUCCCCUGCAGAUGCCCAAGGAACAAAGGAGAAAUGAAGGAAAUCAGAAUUGGUGCUUUCAGUUCUCUAUUGCCCUGCUUGCUGAGAAAUAGGAGAUGAGUGGCUUCCUGAUCCACAGGGUUGUGUCCACAGGUUUGUGUUUCAGGUCCCUCGGUAGACUUUGAGGAACCUGUCGAGUUUAUAAAACUUCCCCACUCGUGUACAGCUGCUUGCACCCUGAUGUAAGCUCAUGAAAGUGACAGCAAUAUUGUUCCAUCCAUCUAGUCAUGUAGAUUUCUUAGCCUGCCAGUUGGAUUCCUGUUGUAAUGUCUUGGCAAUAGCAAAAUUAAUUUCACUAGGAAUACCAAAAUAUUGCUGGAAAAUUACACUGAAAACAGUAAAAUAGGCUGAAAAUGCUAAAGAACUGGUGGGUUAGCCAACUUUAACAGUGUCUAGAUGCAUGGAGAAAAGCAGAAAAACAGGAAAAGGAUAUAUAAUAUUUCCACCGGACACUUUGCAAUAUGUCAUAUGGAGCCCUUCCGAGGCAGUG